rnacentral:misc_RNA from 1 species
CAUACGGGCACACCGGGAUACCGGCGCCGACAGAGAAAGUGGGCAGGUAGGCUAUCACUCCGGGUCUGCUGCACAUCCUAUCGUCACAUGCUGUUCGCCGGCCCCCUCCGGUGCUUCGCAUCUCUCGCACAUAUGAAUUUCUGCACGCAGAUGCAGCGGCGACGCAUUAGGUACCAAUCGCGCCUUCUUGACCGCUAUAUCGUGUUUGCGGUGCUGGGCGUCGUGGCAUACAUCCUCGUACUCAGCCUGAUCGCCGAGAGCCUGGCCACCGGCGUAAGAGACCGCGCCAAGGCGAAGGUGUCAGCAGCGGAGGUGAAGCAUGCGACGAGCUCGAUCCCGGAAGAAGUCUUCUGGCCGCACCGCUGGCCGGCUGCCCCAAUCUCUGAGGUACACAUCAUAAAGGAAGCUAUGGAGUACGUUACCGCGUCACUCACGAAGGUGAUGCCCUUCACGGAGCACUUACCCGAGGCACAACUUGCUGCGUGGGAUCUCGUGUUGCUUACUGGUGUCAGCACUGAGUGGACGCCAACGGCAAAGGAACUGAAGGCGGCGGCUGAAGCGGCGCUGAGCACAGCGGCAUCUACGGCGCCCUCAGAGGCGCUUGCUGCCGUGCGCGAGGCACUCGAAAGUGCUGCAGUGGUGUGGUCGAUGAAGGGUGCUGCCGGUGAGGCGGACGAGGUGCGGGAAUUCUUGAAGGGCAUGCCCGAAACACCAGCGCCGGCAGUGACUUCAGCUGCCUCGUGGUCAGCAUUCAGCCGUGAGGUGUGGAGCUGCGUCACUGCCGGCGGUGCCUCGUUCACCACUGACAGCAUCACGGCGGCGCACGACACCUUGCGUAAGGCCAGUGAGUUUUUCUGGCAUCCUGGCGAGCAGGCAGCAGCGGUGCCGCCGCUGCAUGACUCGCACCUUCUCCCCUUGCGGUCCGGCACCUACGAUGCGGUAGUUCCUUUCGCGCGUCUCUUGCUGCAGUUGUGGGUGCGGGGUGGACGGCGGGACUCGGACAAGCAGCUUGUGGAGGCAUACGAUGCGGCUGUGAUGUCGAUUGUGCAGGAUCUCUUCUACACGCGCACUGUCACCGCGGGGGUGCAGGCAAUGAACUUCACGUUCGUAGGCUCUCGUGCAGAAGCCUUGGUGCCAGUAGCCACACCACGCAUGUGCGCGCUGGCUGGAGUGUUAGCCCAAGGCAUCCGCUACGGCGCACAUCGUUACCCGGCACGCCCAUCCUCUGCACGGUACAGUGAAGACGAUGUGCUGCAGGCCGCUGAAGCGCUGGCCACCUCGUGCUUCCAGCUGUACGCCGAACCAGCCGGCCGCAAGCUGCGUAGCGCCGUCUACGUCACCGGCUCUGGUCCCGUGCCCGGCUACACACGCGCCACCAACGACGACACUAGUGCGUCGCUGCGGUCCUCUUACUGCGACGUUCCCGGUGUGCUCCUGGAGUCUUUCUACGAGUUGUACCAGACAACGCAUGAUGCCAUGUACGGUCUGUGGUCAGUACUCGUGAUGCGGCAGGAUACUUCUGACCAUUGCGGAUUGCGCAAAACAGACAUCACCUCUGCCACGCCGUGGCGGCGCCAUAUUCGCGAGCUGCGCACUCUUUGGCUUCUGUUCCACCGCAUGGACUGUCUUGUGUACCGCGGCUCGCGAGGGUCGCGGAGGAUGUGCGGUUUGGCCACUACCACCAUCGUCUCGCCCGUCACUGGGCACCUGGUGCCAGUGCCGAACACGCCAGCAGCGCUGUAGGGCCGUCGAGCACCGUGGCCGAGGUGUUUUGACAAAGGGACCGCGAAAAAACGUGAAGAAGAGGCCCUGCGGUGGAAAGCCAUCACGGCCUCGAGGGAGGCGUGUGCGCACGACUGCACGCAGCCCCUCGUUGCCGGUGUUUAACGCUCUUUCCUUGCGUUGCUUGGCUUGUCCGACUAAAGUGACCUGCUCGUGCAGCUGACGUCGU